rnacentral:rRNA from 1 species
GACGAACGCUGGCGGCGUGCUUAACACAUGCAAGUCGAACGCUGAAGCUCAGCUUUUGUUGGGUGGAUGAGUGGCGAACGGGUGAGUAACACGUGAGUAACCUGCCUCCUUCUUUGGGAUAACGCCCGGAAACGGGUGCUAAUACUGGAUAUUCACUGGUCUUCGCAUGGGGGUUGGUGGAAAGGGUUUUUCUGGUGGGGGAUGGGCUCGCGGCCUAUCAGCUUGUUGGUGGGGUGAUGGCCUACCAAGGCUUUGACGGGUAGCCGGCCUGAGAGGGUGACCGGGCACAGUGGGACUGAGAUACGGCCCAGACUCCUACGGGAGGCAGCAGUGGGGAAUAUUGCACAAUGGGCGCAAGCCUGAUGCAGCGACGCCGCGUGAGGGAUGGAGGCCUUCGGGUUGUGAACCUCUUUCGCUCAUGGUCAAGCCGCAACAAUGGUUGUGGUGAGGGUAGUGGGUAAAGAAGCGCCGGCUAACUACGUG